rnacentral:tRNA from 1 species
GCAGUUGACUGUUAAUCAAUUGGUCGUAGGUUCGAUCCCUACCGCCGGAGCCA